rnacentral:tRNA from 1 species
GGGCAGGUACCUGAGCGGUCAAAAGGACGACGCUGUAAACGUCGCGGGCCUCAAGCCCUACGGAGGUUCGAAUCCUCCCCUGCCCA